rnacentral:snoRNA from 1 species
AACCCAUGGUGAGGGAACCUACGCAAAAGGUCCUUGUAUCUCUCCCAUGCAUCAAAGAGUGUUUCUAAAUCCAUUUGCACAAAAGAGGAGAUAUCAUUACAUAAUUU